rnacentral:rRNA from 1 species
UAGGAUAGGUGGGAGACUGUGAAGCGGCCACGCCAGUGGUUGUGGAGUCAACGUUGAAAUACCACUCUGGCUGUUCUGGAUAUCUAACCUAGGUCCAUUAUCUGGAUCAGGAACAGUGCCUGAUGGGUAGUUUGACUGGGGCGGUCGCCUCCUAAAAGGUAACGGAGGCGCCCAAAGGUUCCCUCAGCCUGGUUGGCAAUCAGGUUUCGAGUGUAAGUGCACAAGGGAGCUUGACUGUGAGAGGGACACCUCGAGCAGGGACGAAAGUCGGGACUAGUGAUCUGACGGUGGCAUGUGGAAGCGCCGUCACUCAACGGAUAAAAGGUACCCCGGGGAUAACAGGCUGAUCUUGCCCGAGCGUCCAUAGCGACGGCAUGGUUUGGCACCUCGAUGUCGGCUCGUCGCAUCCUGGGGCUGGAGUCGGUCCCAAGGGUUGGGCUGUUCGCCCAUUAAAGCGGCACGCGAGCUGGGUUUAGAACGUCGUGAGACAGUUCGGUCCCUAUCCGCUGCGCGCGUAGGAGUCUUGAGGAGAGCUGUCCUUAGUACGAGAGGACCGGGACGGACGAACCUCUGGUGUGCCAGUUGUCCUGCCAAGGGCACGGCUGGUUGGCUACGUUCGGAAGUGAUAACCGCUGAAAGCAUCUAAGCGGGAAGCACGCUCCAAGAUGAUGGCUCCCACAGGGUAACCUGGUAAGGCCCCCAGCAGAUCACUGGGUGAUAGGUCGGAUGUGGAAGCACAGCAAUGUGUGGAGCUGACCGAUACUAAUAGGCCGAGGGCUUGUUUUCUACAA